rnacentral:rRNA from 1 species
CCCUUAGAUGUUCUGGGCCGCACGCGCGCUACACUGACGAAUGCAACGAGCUUAUAACCUUGGCCGAAAGGUCUGGGUAAUCUCCAAAUUUCGUCGUGAUGGGGAUAGAUUAUUGCAAUUAUUAAUCUUCAACGAGGAAUGCCUAGUAAGCGCAAGUCAUCAGCUUGCGUUGAUUACGUCCCUGCCCUUUGUACACACCGCCCGUCGCUCCUACCGAUUGAAUGGUCCGGUGAAGCGUUCGGACCGUGGCCUUUGGACGGUUCGCCGUCUGUUGGCUGCGGGAAGUUCGUUAAACCUUAUCAUUGAGAGGAAGGAGAAGUCGUAACA